UACGUAGGGACCAAGCGUUGUUCGGAUUUACUGGGCGUAAAGGGCGCGUAGGCGGUCGUGACAAGUCACUUGUGAAAUCUCCGGGCUUAACUCGGAACGGUCAAGUGAUACUGUCGGACUAGAGUACAGAAGGGGCAACUGGAAUUCUCGGUGUAGCGGUGAAAUGCGUAGAUAUCGAGAGGAACACCUGCGGCGAAGGCGGGUUGCUGGGCUGAUACUGACGCUGAGGCGCGAAAGCUAGGGGAGCGAACGGG
rnacentral:rRNA from 1 species